GAGUUGAUCUGGCUCGAAUCAACGCUGGCGGCGUGCCUAACACAUGCAAGUCGAGCGCGAAAGGGGAGCAAUCCCCGAGUAGAGCGGCGAACGGGUGAGUAACGCGUGGGUAAUCUACCUCCGAGUGGGGAAUAACAGCGGGAAACUGCUGCUAAUACCGCAUGACAUCGUCGGGCCUUCGGGCCUGACGAUCAAAGCCGGGGACCGCAAGGCCUGGCGCUUGGAGAGGAGCCCGCGUCCGAUUAGCUAGUUGGCGGGGUAAUGGCCCACCAAGGCUCCGAUCGGUAGCCGGCCUGAGAGGGCGGACGGCCACACUGGGACUGAGACACGGCCCAGACUCCUACGGGAGGCAGCAGUGGGGAAUUUUUCGCAAUGGGGGAAACCCUGACGAAGCAACGCCGCGUGGAGGAUGAAGGCCUUCGGGUCGUAAACUCCUGUCGACCGGGACGAACGCUAUUGGGCCCAAUACGCCCGAUAGUCGACUGUACCGGUGGAGGAAGCCACGGCUAACUCUGUGCCAGCAGCCGCGGUAAUACAGAGGUGGCAAGCGUUGUUCGGAAUUACUGGGCGUAAAGGGCGCGUAGGCGGUCUGGUCAGUCCCUUGUGAAUCCCCCGGCUCACUGGGGAAUGGAAGGGAACAG
rnacentral:rRNA from 1 species